rnacentral:tRNA from 1 species
GCCUCCUUAGCUCAGUGGUAGAGCACUCGCCUUGUAAGCGAAAGGUCGUCAGUUCAAUCCUGACAGGGGGCUCUC